rnacentral:rRNA from 1 species
AGUGAACGCUGGCGGUAGGCCUAACACAUGCAAGUCGAACGGCAGCACAGUAAGAGCUUGCUCUUACGGGUGGCGAGUGGCGGACGGGUGAGGAAUACAUCGGAAUCUACUUUUUCGUGGGGGAUAACGUAGGGAAACUUACGCUAAUACCGCAUACGACCUACGGGUGAAAGCAGGGGAUCUUCGGACCUUGCGCGAUUGAAUGAGCCGAUGUCGGAUUAGCUAGUUGGCGGGGUAAAGGCCCACCAAGGCGACGAUCCGUAGCUGGUCUGAGAGGAUGAUCAGCCACACUGGAACUGAGACACGGUCCAGACUCCUACGGGAGGCAGCAGUGGGGAAUAUUGGACAAUGGGCGCAAGCCUGAUCCAGCCAUACCGCGUGGGUGGAGAAGGCCUUCGGGUUGUAAAGCCCUUUUGUUGGGAAAGAAAAGCAGCAGGUUAAUACCCCGCUGUUCUGACGGUACCCAAGGAAUAAGCACCGGCUAACUUCGUG